rnacentral:lncRNA from 1 species
GUAAGGUAACAUGGCUGAGGUAUCAGAGUAAGGUAACAUGGCUGAGGUAUCAGAGUAAGGUAACAUGACUGAGGUAUCAGAGUAAGGUAACAUGGCUGAGGUAUCAGAGUAAGGUAACAUGGCUGAGGUAUCAGAGUAAGGUAACAUGGCUGAGGUAUCAGAGUAAGGUAACAUGGCUGAGGUAUCAGAGUAAGGUAACAUGACUGAGGUAUCAGAGUAAGGUAACAUGGCUGAGGUAUCAGAGUAAGGUAAUAUGGCUGAGGUAUCAGAGUAAGGUAACAUGGCUGAGGUAUCAGAGUAAGGUAACAUGGCUGAGGUAUCAGAGUAAGGUAACAUGGCUGAGGUAUCAGAGUAAGGUAACAUGGCUGAGGUAUCAGAGUAAGGUAACAUGGCUGAGGUAUCAGAGUAAGGUAACAUGGCUGAGGUAUCAGAGUAAGGUAACAUGGCUGAGGUAUCAGAGUAAGGUAACAUGGCUGAGGUAUCAGAGUAAGGUAACAUGGCUGAGGUAUCAGAGUAAGGUAACAUGGCUGAGGUAUCAGAGUAAGGUAACAUGGCUGAGGUAUCAGAGUAAGGUAAUAUGGCUGAGGUAUCAGAGUAAGG